GAAAAAGAAUGCAAGAACUGCUAACUCAUGCCCCCACGCAUAAAAACGUGGCUUUUU
rnacentral:tRNA from 1 species